rnacentral:rRNA from 1 species
AGCUAGACGGCGGGGUAACGGCCCACCGUGGCGACGAUGCGUAGGGGUUCUGAGAGGAAGGUCCCCCACACUGGUACUGAGACACGGACCAGACUCCUACGGGAGGCAGCAGUGAGGAAUAUUGGUCAAUGGGAGAGAUCCUGAACCAGCCAAGCCGCGUGAGGGAAGACGGCCCUAUGGGUUGUAAACCUCUUUUGUCGGAGAACAAAACCCGGGACGUGUCCCGGACUGCGUGUAUCCGAAGAAAAAGCAUCGGCUAACUCCGUGCCAGCAGCCGCGGUAAUACGGAGGAUGCGAGCGUUAUCCGGAUUUAUUGGGUUUAAAGGGUGCGUAGGCGGUCCGUUAAGUCAGCGGUAAAAUUGCGGGGCUCAACCCCGUCGAGCCGUUGAAACUGGCAGACUUGAGUUGGCGAGAAGUACGCGGAAUGCGCGGUGUAGCGGUGAAAUGCAUAGAUAUCGCGCAGAACUCCGAUUGCGAAGGCAGCGUACCGGCGCCAGACUGACGCUGAGGCACGAAAGCGUGGGGAUCGAACAGGAUUAGAUACCCUGGUAGUCCACGCAGUAAACGAUGAAUGCUGGUUGUCCGGGUCGAAUGAGAUCUGGGCGGC